rnacentral:rRNA from 1 species
AAUAUUGCACAAUGGGCGAAAGCCUGAUGCAGCGACCCCGCGUGUAUGAUGAAGGCCUUCGGGUUGUAAAGUACUUUUGGCAGAGAAGAAAAGGUACCUCCUAAUACGAGGUACUGCUGACGGUAUCUGCAGAAUAAGCACCGGCUAACUACGUGCCAGCAGCCGCGGUAAUACGUAGGGUGCAAGCGUUAAUCGGAAUUACUGGGCGUAAAGCGUGUGUAGGCGGUUCGAAAAGAAAGAUGUGAAAUCCCAGGGCUCAACCUUGGAACUGCAUUUUUAACUGCCGAGCUAGAGUAUGUCAGAGGGGGGUAGAAUUCCACGUGUAGCAGUAAAAUGCGUAGAUAUGUGGAGGAAUACCGAUGGCGAAGGCAGCCCCCUGGGAUAAUACUGACGCUCAGACACGAAAGCGUGGGGAGCAAACAG